GCCCGGUUAGCUCAAUCGGUAGAGCGUGAGACUCUUAAUCUCAAGGUUGCGGGUAAGUUCCAUAAUCCUCUGCGAUUGUGGUACACGUGAUGCUAACAAUCAUCAAAGGUUCGACCCCCGCAUCGGGCU